AGCGAACGCUGGCGGCAGGCCUAACACAUGCAAGUCGAACGAACUCUUCGGAGUUAGUGGCGGACGGGUGAGUAACACGUGGGAACGUGCCUUUUGGUUCGGAAUAACUCAGGGAAACUUGUGCUAAUACCGAAUGUGCCCUUCGGGGGAAAGAUUUAUCGCCAUUAGAGCGGCCCGCGUCUGAUUAGCUAGUUCGUGAGGUAACGGCUCACCAAGGCGACGAUCAGUAGCUGGUCUGAGAGGAUGACCAGCCACACUGGGACUGAGACACGGCCCAGACUCCUACGGGAGGCAGCAGUGGGGAAUCUUGCGCAAUGGGCGAAAGCCUGACGCAGCCAUGCCGCGUGAAUGAUGAAGGUCUUAGGAUUGUAAAAUUCUUUCACCGGGGACGAUAAUGACGGUACCCGGAGAAGAAGCCCCGGCUAACUUCGUG
rnacentral:rRNA from 1 species